rnacentral:rRNA from 1 species
UACGGAGGGUGCAAGCGUUGUCCGGAAUCACUGGGCGUAAAGGGCGCGUAGGCGGCUCGGUAAGUAGGGGGUGAAAUCCCUCGGCUCAACCGUGGAAGUGCAUCCGAAACUGCAUCGCUGGAGUCUCGGAGAGGAAGGUGGAAUGCUUGGUGUAGAGGUGAAAUUCGUAGAUAUCAAGCAGAACACCUGCGGCGAAGGCGGCCUUCUGGACGAUGACUGACGCUGAGACGCGAAAGCGUGGGGAGCAAACAGG